UACGGGGGGAGCAAGCGUUGUUCGGAUUUACUGGGCGUAAAGGGCGCGUAGGCGGCCACUGCAAGUCGGUUGUGAAAUCUCCGGGCUUAACCCGGAAAGGUCAAUCGAUACUGCAGGGCUAGAGUGCAGAAGGGGCAACUGGAAUUCUCGGUGUAGCGGUGAAAUGCGUAGAUAUCGAGAGGAACACCUGCGGCGAAGGCGGGUUGCUGGGCCGAUACUGACGCUGAGGAGCGAAAGCGUGGGGAGCGAACAGG
rnacentral:rRNA from 1 species